ACAUGGUGUGGUGGUGUGUGCCUGUUGUCCUAGCUACUUGGGAGGCUGAGACAGGAGGAUCUUCUGAGCCCAGGAGGUCUGGGCUGUAAAGCAGUAUGUCAAUUGGGUGUCCACACUAAGUUCAGCAUCAGUAUGAUGACCUCUUCGAAGCAAGGACCACCAUGUUGCCUAAGGAGGGAUGAACUGGCCCAGGUUGGAAACAGAGUAGGUCAAAACUCCCAUGCUGAUCAGUAGUGGGAUGGAGCCUGUGAAUAGCUGUUACACUCUGGCCUGGGCAAUGAAAAAAAUAUGUAUAU
rnacentral:SRP_RNA from 1 species